UCUUACUUGUGAACCCAAGAAUCUUGACAACCACUGGUCACAUCAACUUUAACUAUUUCUUUUGUAAAUCUGCUUGGUCCCUUUCUUAACAAAAAUGAUAGAGUUCAACGCUAAUCAAGGUUAAAUUCUUAGAAGGCCUACGCGGAUAGAGACACUGUGAGUGCUUCCAGCGAGGUAACUGCUUUUACGGACGUCGUAUGGUGCAAAAAUAUUCCCUACAGGUUCGUUUGAGGAGAUUCCAAGAAACCAAGGAGAAGAGCUUGAAGAACAUUUGGAGGAGGAAGCUGGAAGACCCACCGCUUGGGCUCUAAGCAUUUCAGAUCAUAACUGAUGAAGAGGGAAGGCCAACGAGCUAGGAGAAUUGAUGGAGGCAUUCAAAGGGAGUUACAAGAAGAUGGAGAGUUUUUUUGUUAGGGUGCUGAGCGCCCAAGCGCUGGUGCUGAGCGCUCAGGCGCCAGCUAACCAGUACCUUCUUGCCAGCUUCUGUUUAGGGAGCGCUCAAGCGCCCCUGUGCAGCGCUUGAGCGCCCCUGUUCGCACAAAUUGCCUAUAAAUAGGCUUUUUGUCAUUUCUUUUGUAAUUUUUGUCAUUUCUAUACAUUCCUAAAUAAGUUAGAAGUAGGGUUAGGCUCUGGAGCUUGAGGAGAAGCUUUCUCCAAGUCCAUGUUCCAGGUUUUAUCCUUUCUUUCUUGUAUGGAUUCUAUAGCCAUGCUUGGCUAA